rnacentral:hammerhead_ribozyme from 1 species
AUCUAGCUCAUGAAUCCUAAAUAGGACAAAAUGUGCAUCCUAGAU